GCUGGGUGUUGGUGGCGCACGCCUUUAAUCCCAGCACUUGGGAGGCAGAGGCAGGCAGAUCUCUGAGAGUUCGAGGCCAGCCUGGUCUACAGAGCGAGUUCCAGGAUAGGCUCCAAAGCUACACAGAGAAACCCUGUCUCGAAAAACCAAAAAAAAAAAAAAAAAAAAAAAAAAAAGUUCUUAUUUGUUUUUUGAGACAGGGUUUCUCUGUGUAGCUUUGUAGACCCAGCUGGCCUCUAACUGACAGAGAUCCUCCUGCCUCU
rnacentral:sRNA from 1 species